GGCUGCACACUAUGGAGAAGAAGGAAUGCAGAUGGGAGAAAAGCUUUAGGUUUUAUGCCUGUUACAGAGAAGGAAAAACACAAAAAGCGAGAAAAGAAAACCCCAAAAUUUACUUAGAACUCUAUCCCUUCUCUGCACAAUUGUGAAAAAGUAGAAGAAACUCAAAUGCAUCAAUAGAUCGAAAGACGCAUGGAUUGAAUCAAGUGAAAAGAGAGCUUCUUACAGAUGGCUGAGGCUGGUGCAGAAAUGAUCUCUUCAAUGGUGGUCUUGGCGAUGAUGGAAAUGCCAUGGCCAGCAACGGACUGCCAGAGAGAUUGGAGAGCACCAGAUUGUUGUAAAGGAUCAUUGGGGAGAAGGUUUGCUUGGAUAUGAGAGAAGAGUAUAUCCAUCUUGAU
rnacentral:misc_RNA from 1 species